AGACAGCAGCAGCCACGGUAAUACGUAGGUGGCGAGCGUUGUCCGGAAUUAUUGGGCGUAAAGGGAGCGCAGGCGGACAUAUAAGUCCAUCUUAAAAGUGCGGGGCUCAACCCCGUGAGGGGAUGGAAACUGUAUGCCUUGAGUGCAGGAGAGGAAAGCGGAAUUCCCAGUGUAGCGGUGAAAUGCGUAGAUAUUGGGAGGAACACCAGUGGCGAAGGCGGCUUUCUGGACUGCAACUGACGCUGAGGCUCGAAAGCCAGGGGAGCGAACGGGAUUAGAUACCCCAGUAGUCCCUGUCUCUUAUACA
rnacentral:rRNA from 1 species